CGGCGAGUGAAGCGGGAACAGCUCAAAUUUGAAAUCUGGCCCUCGGGUCCGAGUUGUAAUUUGUAGAGGAUGCUUUUGGUGCGGUGCCUUCCGAGUUCCCUGGAACGGGACGCCUUAGAGGGUGAGAGCCCCGUACGGUUGGACGCCUAGCCUCUGUAAAGCUCCUUCGACGAGUCGAGUAGUUUGGGAAUGCUGCUCUAAAUGGGAGGUAUAUUUCUUCUAAAGCUAAAUACUGGCCAGAGACCGAUAGCGCACAAGUAGAGUGAUCGAAAGAUGAAAAGCACUUUGAAAAGAGGGUUAAAUAGCACGUGAAAUUGUUGAAAGGGAAGCGUUUAUCACCAGACUUUUUCUGGGGGGAUCAUCCGGUGUUCUCACCGGUGCACUUCCCCCAGUUGAGGCCAGCAUCGGUUUUCGGAGGGGGAUAAAAGCUUCGGGAAUGUGACUCCCUCGGGAGUGUUAUAGCCCGUUGCAUAAUACCCUUCUGGGGACCGAGGUUCGCGCAUCUGCAAGGAUGCUGGCAUAAUGGUGAUCAACGACCCGUCUUGAAACACGGACCAAGGAGUCGAACAUUUAUGCGAGUGUUUGGGUGUCAAACCCUCACGCGUAAUGAAAGUGAACGGAGGUGAGAGCCCUUACGGGUGCAUCAUCGACCGAUCCUGAUGUCUUCGGAUGGAUUUGAGUAAGAGCAUAACUGUUCGGACCCGAAAGAUGGUGAACUAUGCGUGGAUAGGGUGAAGCCAGGAGAAAUCCUGGUGGAGGCUCGCAGCGGUUCUGACGUGCAAAUCGAUCGUCAAAUCUGCGCA
rnacentral:rRNA from 1 species